rfam:Neomicrococcus aestuarii strain B18, complete genome.
CUGAGACUCCUAUCACUACGGAUCGUCGGGCACGUACCUGCCCGUGAAGGGUUGUUUUUC